GGCAGGGUGGCAGAGCCUGGUUGAUUGCGGCGCAUUGAAACUGCGCAGACCGGAAACGGUCCAGGGGUUCGAAUCCCCUCCCUAUUC
rnacentral:tRNA from 2 species